UACGUAGGGGGCUAGCGUUGUCCGGAAUCAUUGGGCGUAAAGAGCGUGUAGGCGGCCCGGUAAGUCCGCUGUGAAAGUCGGGGGCUCAACCCUCGAAUGCCGGUGGAUACUGUCGGGCUAGAGUGCGGAAGAGGCGAGUGGAAUUCCUGGUGUAGCGGUGAAAUGCGCAGAUAUCAGGAGGAGCACCGAUUGCGAAGGCAGCUCGCUGGGACGUCACUGACGCUGAGACGCGAAAGCGUGGGGAGCAAACAGG
rnacentral:rRNA from 1 species